rnacentral:rRNA from 1 species
AAGGAGGGUGCGAGUGUUAUUCGGGUUUACUGGGCGUAAAGAGCACGUAGGCGGAUAGGCAAGUCAGAUGUGAAAGCCCGGAGCUUAACUCCGGAACUGCAUUUGAUACUGCUUGUCUUGAGUGUGGUAGAGGGGGGUGGAAUUCCCGGUGUAGAAGUGAAAUUCGUAGAUAUCGGGAGGAACACCAGAGGCGAAGGCGACCCCCUUGGCCAUAUCUGACGCGGAGGUGCAUAAACGUGGGGAGCAAACAG